CGUGAGACUUUUAAUCUCAAGGUUGCGGGUUCGAGUCCCGCGUUGGGCU
rfam:Candida maltosa Xu316 contig1531_scaffold25, whole genome shotgun sequence.